rnacentral:rRNA from 1 species
AAUAGAUACCCCGGUAGUCCACGCCGUAAACGAUGAGUGCUAAGUGUUAGGGGGUUUCCGCCCCUUAGUGCUGCAGCUAACGCAUUAAGCACUCCGCCUGGGGAGUACGGUCGCAAGACUGAAACUCAAAGGAAUUGACGGGGGCCCGCACAAGCGGUGGAGCAUGUGGUUUAAUUCGAAGCAACGCGAAGAACCUUACCAGGUCUUGACAUCCUCUGACAACCCUAGAGAUAGGGCUUUCCCUUCGGGGACAGAGUGACAGGUGGUGCAUGGUUGUCGUCAGCUCGCGUCGUGAGAUGUUGGGUUAAGUCCCGCAACGAGCGCAACCCUUGAUCUUAGUUGCCAGCAUUCAGUUGGGCACUCUAAGGUGACUGCCGGUGACAAACCGGAGGAAGGUGGGGAUGACGUCAAAUCAUCAUGCCCCUUAUGACCUGGGCUACACACGUGCUACAAUGGACAGAACAAAGGGCUGCGAGACCGCAAGGUUUAGCCAAUCCCACAAAUCUGUUCUCAGUUCGGAUCGCAGU